rnacentral:rRNA from 1 species
CCUCUCUGUCAGGGGAGGUUGCACCGCCCAGUCUCGCUUGGAGACUGAGCCCAGGCGGUUGCACCUCCUGACUGAGGCGGUUGCACCGCUUGCCAGAGCUCGAAGACUAAGCUCAGGCGGUGCUACCUCUCUGUUAGGGGAGGUUGCACCGCCCAGUCUCGCUCGGAGACUGAGCCCAGGCGGUUGCACCUCCUGGCUAGGGCGGUUGCACCGCCCAGUCUCCCUGGGAGACUUAGCCUAGGCGGUGCUACCUCCUGGCUUGGGCGGUUGCACGACCUAGUGCAAUCAGGGUCCGAAUGGGUAGAUCCAUUCGGCCCAACUUGGGUUUUUCAAGGGCCCAAUUGCCCCAAGAUUAAGCUAAUGGGAUCACCUCCCAUUUCCAACUUAAUCAUUGUGCUAACUACGAUAAAUCCUAAGACAAUUUCUACAGCUUGCUCCGGUACGUCAAUCGCUUCUUCCAGCGAGUUUUCGACGAACUUCCGUCGAUCAACCGAUGAACCCUCGGUGAUGCUCCUGCGGACUUUCGGAAAACUCCUGGACUUGCGACGAUCCACUUGGCGAGUUCCGACGAGCUUCUUUUGGCAAGCUUAUGGACUUCUCGGAUUUGUUCCUGUAGAACCUCCGACGACUAUCCGAACUUCCGUCGAACUCUCGAACUCCCAUCGUGAUCAUUGUCUUGACUCCGGCGCAACUCUUGUUGCAUGUCUAACUUUCAUCGUAGUUAAUCCUGCACACUUAUCUCAACACAUAGAUUAGACAACAAAUGACAAUUGACUUCAUCAUCAAAAUCCAAGAUUCAAUAGUUCCCUCCGAAGUUUCCCUCAGGAUAGCUGGAGCCCACGUGCGAGUUCUAUCAAGUAAAGCCAAUGAUUAGAGGCAUCGGGGGCGCAAUGCCCUCGACCUAUUCUAAAACUUUAAAUAGGUAGGACGGCAUGGCUGCUUUGUUGAGUCACGUCGCGGAAUCAAGAGCUCCAAGUGGGCCAUUAUUGGUAAGCAGAACUGGCGAUGCGGGAUGAACCGGAAGUCGGGUUAUGGUGGCCAACUGUGUGCUAACCCAAACACCACAAAGGUUGUUGGUUGAUUAAGACAGUAGGACAGUGGUCAUGGAAGUCGAAAUCCGCUAAGGAGUGUGUAACAACUCACCUGCCAGAUCAACUAGCCCUGAAAAUGGAUGGCGCUGAAGCGCGCAACCCACACCCGGCCAUCGGGGCGAGCGCCAAGCCCCAAUGAGUAGGAGGGCACGGUGGUCGCUGCAAAACCUAGGGCGCGAGCCCGGGUGGAGCGGCCGUCGGUGCAAAUCUUGGUGGUAGUAGCAAAUAUUCAAAUGUGAACUUUGAAGGCCGAAGAGGGGAAAGGUUCCAUGUGAACGACACUUGCACAUGGGUUAGCCGAUCCUAAGGGAUGGGGGAAGACCAUCCGAGAGCAUGUCUCCGUGUGAGCUCCGAAAGGGAAUCGGGUUAAAAUUCCCGAGCCAGGAGGUGGCGGCGGACGGCAAUGUUAGGAAGUCCGGAGACGCUGGUAGGGACCCCAGGAAGAGUUAUCUUUUUUACUUAACGGCCUGCCCACCCUGGAAACGGCUUAGCCGGAGGUAGGGUCCAGCGGUCGGAAGAGCGCCACAUGUCGCGCGGCGUCCUGUGCGUCCCCGACGGCCCUUGAAAAUCCGGAGGACCGAGUGCCGCCCAUGCCCGGUCGUACUCAUAACUGCAUCAGGUCUCCAAGGUGAACAGCCUCUAGCCCAUGGAACAAUGUAGGCAAGGGGAGUCUGCAAAACGGAUCCGUAAAUUCAGGAAAAGGAUUGGCUCUGAGGGCUGGGCACGGGGGUCCUGGCCCCGAACCCGUCGGCUGUCGCUGAACUGCUCGAGCUACUCUCGCGGUGACAGAGGGUCGCCGCGUGCCGGCCGAGGGACGGACCGGUAACAGCCCCCUCAGGGGCCUUCCCCUGGCGUCGAACAACCAACUCAGAACUAGUACGGACAAGAGGAAUCUGAUUGUUUAAUUAAAACAAAGCAUUGCGAUGGUCCCCGCGGAUGCUCACGCAAUGUGAUUUCUGCCCAGUGCUCUGAAUGUCAAAGUGAAGAAAUUCAACCAAGCGCGGGUAAAUGGUGGGAGUAACUAUGACUCUCUUAAGGUAGCCAAAUGCCUCGUCAUCUAAUUAGUGACGUGCAUGAAUGGAUCAACGAGAUUCCCAUUGUCCCUGUCUACUAUCCAGCGAAUCCACAGCCAAGGGAACAGGCUUGGCAGAAUCAGUGGGGAAAGAAGACCCUAUUAAGCUUGAGUCUAGUCCGACUUUGUGAAAUGACUUGAGAGGUGUAGGAUAAGUGGGAGCCGGUUCACCGGCGGAAGUGAAAUACCACUACUUUUAACGUUAUUUUACUUAUUCCUUGAAUCGGAGGCGGGGCUCGGCCCCUCCUUUUGGACCCAAGGCCUGCCUAGCGGGCCAAUCUAGGCGGAAGACAUUGUCAGGUGGGGUGUUUGGCUGGGGCGACACAUCUGUUAAAAGAUAACGCAGGUCUCCAAAGAUGAGCUCAACGAGAAUAGAAAUCUCGUGUGGAACAAAAUGGUAAAAGCUCAUAUGAUUCUGAUUUCCAGUACGAAUACGAAUCGUGAAAGCAUGGCCUAUCGAUCCUUUAGUCCUUCGAAAUUUGAAGCUAGAGGUAUCAGAAAAGUUACCACAGGGAUAUCUAGCUUGUGGCAGCCAAGCGUUCAUAGCGACAUUGCUUUUUGAUCCUUCAAUGUCGGCUCUUCCUAUCAUUGUGAAGCAGAAUUCACCAUGUGUUGGAUUGUUCACCCACUAAUAGGUAACAUGAGCUGGGUUUAGACCAUCGUGAGAUAAGUUAGUUUUACCCUACUGAUGAUCAUGCCGUGAUAGUAAUUCAACCUAGUAUGAGAGGAACCCUUGAUUCACACAAUUGGUCAUCGCGCUUGGUUGAAAAGCCAGUGACGCGAAGCUACCGUGUGUCGGAUUAUGACUGAACACCUCUAAGUCAGAAUCCUAGCUAGCAACCGGCGCUCUCGACCGUCGUUCGCCUCCCGACCCGCAGUAGGGGCCUUUGGCCCCCAUGGGCUCUUGU